rnacentral:rRNA from 1 species
UACGGGGGGAGCAAGCGUUGUUCGGAUUUACUGGGCGUAAAGGGCGCGUAGGCGGUCAGCACAAGUCAGUUGUGAAAUCUCCGGGCUUAACUCGGAAAGGUCAACUGAUACUGUGCGACUAGAGUGCGGAAGGGGCAACUGGAAUUCUCGGUGUAGCGGUGAAAUGCGUAGAUAUCGAGAGGAACACCUGUGGCGAAAGCGGCGCACUGGACCAUAACUGACGCUGAGGCGCGAAAGCUAGGGGAGCAAACAGG